AUAUAGCCCUGAUUGAAGCGGCAUCUCCCGAUUUUUCAUCGGGAAUAUAGCGAAAAGCAGGACAGGUG
rnacentral:sRNA from 1 species